UGAGGAAUAUUGGUCAAUGGACGAGAGUCUGAACCAGCCAAGUAGCGUGAAGGAUGACUGCCCUAUGGGUUGUAAACUUCUUUUAUAUGGGAAUAAAAUGUUCCACGUGUGGGAUUUUGUAUGUACCAUAUGAAUAAGGAUCGGCUAACUCCGUGCCAGCAGCCGCGGUAAUACGGAGGAUCCGAGCGUUAUCCGGAUUUAUUGGGUUUAAAGGGAGCGUAGGUGGAUUGUUAAGUCAGUUGUGAAAGUUUGCGGCUCAACCGUAAAAUUGCAGUUGAAACUGGCAGUCUUGAGUACAGUAGAGGUGGGCGGAAUUCGUGGUGUAGCGGUGAAAUGCUUAGAUAUCACGAAGAACUCCGAUUGCGAAGGCAGCUCACUGGACUGCAACUGACACUGAGGCUCGAAAGUGUGGGUAUCAAACAGG
rnacentral:rRNA from 2 species